GUUUCCAAUCUAACAAGGAAAAAGAAAAAAAGCACAUGCGAAUGAUUUCAAAACAGAAUAAAGUGGAUUCUGAGACACAGGUGAGGCCCAAACAGGCUGCCUUUAGAAUUUACUAAGAAGAGGGAAGAAACAAACUUUCGGAGAGCAUUUCAACUUUUCGACUCAACAUACACGUGAAAAGAAGGGUAGUGUCAACAGAAUGCAGAGACAUACAGAUGGGGAUGGAAAAGAAUCUUUGGCUGGAGUCCACAACGUGAAAGACUUCUCCUCAAGUAUGGAUGCCUGACCUGAAGCCUGAGACGCCGAGCAGCCUUGGCCAUCAGAGAAGAUGAGAGCAGUGCUACCCCACCCUGUGGACGUGGGCUCUGUACCUGUGACCAAAGCAGCUCGGCCUGGAGCAGGCAGACCCCCUGGUCAUCCCACGUGGACAAUGACCACUGUGUGACCGUCCACCACAAAACGUUACCCUGGUACUUCCCGGUGCCAAAGUGGCAGGAGGUAGCACUCUCCUCCCGCCCCACUGUGGCCCCCCACCUUUAGCUGCCCUGGUCAUCUCGGUGAGCAGCUCGAGUGGUUAAGCAGAUACCCCAGGCUGGCAGCCCGACUUCUGCCCAUACUGACAUUCUCCUCUGUAACAUCCCUCCUCCGCAGCUAUGAACAGAAUCCAUGAGGUGAUCACUGUGAAACACUCAGAUGACUACAGACGGCUGAGGGAUUAUUACAUGGGAGGAGACAGCUGCACGUUUCCUUGACUGGAGCAAGGAAGAUGGAACACAGUGUACACAUGCCCAUGAAUCUCCCCAGGCCUGGCAC
ensembl:lncRNA